GCUGGGCGUGGUGGCGGGCGCCUGUAAUCCCAGCUACUCAGGAGGCUGAGGCAGGAGAAUCGCUUGAACCUGGGAGGUAGAGGUUGCAGUGAGCUGAGGUCAAGCCACUGCACCCUAGCCUGUGCAAUAGAGCGAGACUCUGUCUCAA
rfam:Gorilla gorilla gorilla genomic chromosome, chr4, whole genome shotgun sequence